UACGUAGGGUGCAAGCGUUGUCCGGAAUUAUUGGGCGUAAAGAGCUCGUAGGCGGUUCGUCGCGUCGGCUGUGAAAACCUGAGGCUCAACCUCAGGCCUGCAGUCGAUACGGGCGGACUUGAGUACUGCAGGGGAGACUGGAAUUCCUGGUGUAGCGGUGAAAUGCGCAGAUAUCAGGAGGAACACCGGUGGCGAAGGCGGGUCUCUGGGCCGUAGCUGACGCUGAGGAGCGAAAGCAUGGGGAGCGAACAGG
rnacentral:rRNA from 1 species